GACGAACGCUGGCGGCGUGCUUAACACAUGCAAGUCGAACGGAAAGGCCCUGCUUGCAGGGUACUCGAGUGGCGAACGGGUGAGUAACACGUGGGUGAUCUGCCCUGCACUUCGGGAUAAGCCUGGGAAACUGGGUCUAAUACCGGAUAGGAGCCAUUUUUAGUGUGAUGGCUGGAAAGUUUUUUUCGGUGUAGGAUGAGCUCGCGGCCUAUCAGCUUGUUGGUGGGGUAAUGGCCUACCAAGGCGGCGACGGGUAGCCGGCCUGAGAGGGUGGACGGCCACAUUGGGACUGAGAUACGGCCCAGACUCCUACGGGAGGCAGCGGUGGGGAAUAUUGCACAAUGGGCGCAAGCCUGAUGCAGCGACGCCGCGUGGGGGAUGACGGCCUUCGGGUUGUAAACUCCUUUCGCUAGGGACGAAGCUUUUUGUGACGGUACCUAGAUAAGAAGCACCGGCUAACUACGUG
rnacentral:rRNA from 1 species